rnacentral:lncRNA from 1 species
UGCUAAACAGCAAGUUGUAAAUACAGUAUGCUUGGGAAUGUCUACCUGGCAGAAAUCUGUCACUAGGUGGCUGAACACUGUGACUACAGACAACUGGCAAGAAGAAAAACCUUCCUGUUAGAAUCCAGUAGUGCAUGAGGCUCCUUGUUAAGGGGCUGUGUCCCUUGGUGACAAAGAAUGAAACCAGAUCUGGAGGAGGCAGAGUGUCAGAAAAUUUAUUGAACAGAUUAAAGGAGCUCGGGACCUCGCUGGCACUGAGAAUGGCUUCAGUUCAUUUUGGAGAGCUCUGGUCCUCGCUUUGA